rnacentral:lncRNA from 1 species
AGUCUCAGCUGUAAAAAUAGAGUCCCCAGGGAAUACUGAUAGCGUUUUUCCAAUAAAGCAAAAUCUAUUUGCAGUAAUAGGUAUAUGCAAAGACCUCCUGAAAUUACAGGAGCAAACUCCUUCCACAUCUUGACCUAAUUAAGAUCCGUUACUCAACAGUGAUCGGUCAGAUUUUACUGUAAGAAGGAAGAAAACAAGGAUCCUGCUAGAACAACAUGGAAACAGGCUGAUCUUAGGACCUACAACAAAGAGAUUUCUCACUGGCUUCCUGGUGGUUCAUUCAAUAGGGAAUUCCUGCAGCAAGUUGGAGGGAGGGAGGAGAAGCAGGGAGGCCACCUCCUGUCAAAGCUGGGACAUCUAGAUACAGUGGUCACAGUACAACUCAACUGCAUGCACACCUAAAACAGUAGCUUAUUUUCUCUGAC